rnacentral:rRNA from 2 species
UACGGAGGGUGCGAGCGUUGUUCGGAAUUAUUGGGCGUAAAGCGCACGUAGGCGGCUUUGUAAGUCUCAUUGUGAAAGCCCGGGGCUCAACCCCGGGACUGCAGGGGAUACUGCGAGGCUUGAGUCAAGUAGAGGUUGGUAGAAUUCCGGGUGUAGCGGUGGAAUGCGUAGAGAUCCGGAGGAAUACCAGAGGCGAAGGCGGCCAACUGGACUUGUACUGACGCUGAGGUGCGAAAGCGUGGGGAGCGAACAGG